UACGGGGGGGGCAAGCGUUGUUCGGAAUUACUGGGCGUAAAGCGUGCGCAGGCGGUUCGUUAAGUCAGAUGUGAAAGCCCCGGGCUCAACCUGGGAACUGCAUUUGAAACUGGCGGGCUUGAGUGUGGCAGAGGGGGGUGGAAUUCCGCGUGUAGCAGUGAAAUGCGUAGAGAUCCGGAGGAACACCAGUGGCGAAGGCGACACGCUGGGCCGUACCUGACACUGAUGCGCGACAGCAUGGGGAGCAAACAGG
rnacentral:rRNA from 1 species